rnacentral:sRNA from 1 species
CCUCCUCGACCGCCCCGCCCGUCAGUCCUGAAAACCUGGCGAGAGGCGCGCACUGUCCUAGGGGAAUUCCCCUGCAAACAGAAGGGAGCCCGCCCUGCGCGUCCUGGAGUGGGUGCAGCAGGAGCGCUUCCAGGCACUGCGUCCCCAGGUGAGGGGCGGAGCGGGGGCGCGGUUCGCGGCAGUGGCCAGGCCUUUGUUUCCUUGGGUUGGGGUGACCCCUGGUGGUCAUCCAGAGCGCAACAAGGGCUACUCCCUGGUCCAGAAUUCAGUCCUUUCCGGGGGAGAAAUAGAGAAUGGUGGAGGGUGGCCCAGGCGGUGUUGAUUGGAGUAGAGAGCCAUCCUCCCGAAGUUGGCACUGAGGGUGAUAGAGACCUACCUGCCUGGCCAAGCCACUCCGCCCUGCCCAAGCAUCCCCUUCCAGAGCUCCAGGCUGUUUUGGUGGGGUUUUAUUAAGGGAGGCGGUGUUCCUUACACAGGCCUCUUCCUGCUCCCCGUAACCCUGUCGCUGGAGGUGUCUGUGGGAAAGGCCACCGACAUCUACGCUGUCAAUGGCACGGAGAUCCUGCUGCCCUGCACCUUCUCCAGCUGCUUUGGCUUCGAGGACCUCCACUUCCGGUGGACCUACAACAGCAGUGACGCAUUCAAGAUUCUCAUAGAGGGGACUGUGAAGAAUGAGAAGUCUGACCCCAAGGUGACAUUGAAAGACGAUGACCGCAUCACUCUGUGGAAGAAGUGGACAACACAGUGACACUCAUCAUCCUAGCUGUUGUGGGUGGGGUCAUUGGGCUCCUCAUCCUCAUCCUGCUGAUCAAGAAACUCAUCAUCUUCAUCCUGAAGAAGACUCGGGAGAAGAAG